ensembl:lncRNA
CCCCAACACGGUCUCACUCGCGUGCAGGCCCCCACCCUCCUGUUCUUCCAAGGCCCUCCCCCAGCUGACCUAUGAUUCGCCCCCACGCUGAUUGACAAGAAGAACAUUACAAUACAUGCACAUAGAACAACUGGCAUAGCGGACAACGAAAUAUAAUGUAACACAUAACACACAAACUAUUUAACUGUCUCAGGGUCGCUACAGUACAAAAGUUCUAGACUCCCAUGGGUUAUCGGUUAUGUUUAGACUCCCAGGGGUCAUAAUAUCUACCAGGGGUCUAGUAAACAAGAAAUUUAGCAGGUGGCUCACUGUAAUUUUAUGGGCUUCGUGUGAUACCGUUUUGAGGCCCCAUGUUGAAGGACAGUGGUCCCACUGAGUAUAAGAAAGGUGUAUGAGCAUUACAAACAGAGUAGCGGGACAACGUAGCGUCUGAGGCCGAAAUGGGUCCCCUAAUCGUACUGAAUGGUGCGGUUGGGUGCCAACGGUCUGGAGGUCUUCCUGUAGCUCCAGAGUAGCGGGACAACGUCGCGUCUGAGUCCGAAAUGGGUCCCGUAAUCGGGCUGAGUGGUGCGGUUGGGUGCCAACGGUCUGGAGGUCUUCCCGGAGCUCCAGAGUAGCGGGACAACUUUGCGUCUGAGUCCGAAACGGGUCCCCUAAUCGGACUAAGUGGUGCGGUUGGUUGCCAACGGUCUGGAGGUCCUGAGAAUCAUCCAGGGGAGCGGGACCACUUGGCUUCUGAGGCCGAAUCGGGUCCCCUUGUCGGACUGAAUGGUGCAGUUGGUGGCCAACAGUCUGGAGGUCUUCCUGAGGCUCCAGAGGAGGGUAACUGUGAGUCUGAGUCCGAGAUGAGUCCCCUAAUCGGACUGAAUGGUGCAGUUUCAGUACGCCGUGGACCACUUUGGUCUGCCAUCGUCGGUCGCUACUCGCUACUGUCUGCCGUGGAAUCAAAACAAACCCUCUAGUUGAGGACGCGCCUUGAUGACGCGGGCCCGAAUGCGCCACAAGAAGCAGACGGAAAACCUUAUAUAUCCAUGCAGCAAACAGACAGGUCUGUCGGCCAAUAAGGUCAUUCGGUCCGAAGAAUUUUAUUGGUUGAAG